CGAAGUUUACAUUCAUGAAAAAUAAAACGGCAUUAACUUAACUACUACAUCAUAAGUACUGAAAUAGAAAGUUGUUCCCUAAUUAACAACAAACACAUAACUAAAUUCAAGGAUUAAAAGCACACACAACAACAUCAAAAACACAACGGGCAAUAACACAGCAUUAAACAUUGAAUUUCAGACCAGCAAAAGAGAAGGAGCUGUUUCCCUCCUUCAUAUCAGUGUUAGUGAGAGCGAACCACCCAAGGAGACCCGAACCGAGACCGAAGCUGAUGAUGAAAAUGCAGAAGAGAAGCUUGUUAUUAAUAGCAUCGUGGCUAGUGGUGCUGCUGAUGAUGAAGCACAUCAUGGACCAAUAGGGAAAACCAAUCAUGUCUCUUUUCAGGUUCUUCAAAAUGGCUAGCAAGAGAGUGAUUUCAACAGCGUAUGUAGCAGCAACAACGUAGUUCCACACUUGUUUCAGGAGGGAAGAAGACAUUUUGUCAAAUUAAACCUGUCAAGGAAAUAGAAUAGUUACAUGUAGAGAAGAAAAUGGAAAUUAGGAUUGGACAAAAACAAAAUUAUGAAUUACCUGCUUGAUGUGUGACGGAAUCAGCCACACUAUACUUAUUCUUGCUCCUAAUUUGUUCUUUAUCUCCUUUCAAGAAGUCAAGUGUUUGAUCUCUCAACAUGUUAUGUGAGCAUAUAUAUAGAUGGAGAGUGAAUCAUCUUCUUAUUGUGAAGCCAGGAACAAUGCUCCCCACUACUUCCUUCUCUGACCAGAAAUUAAUUAUGAAACCAGCUAAUUGUGACAAAACCACUCUGUGCAAAUUGGUCAGAAUUUA
rnacentral:lncRNA from 1 species